rnacentral:misc_RNA from 1 species
AAAAAUAAUGAGUGCACUUUAUUGUGGCUCUAAAAUUUUCAAUAAAUUUCACCCAUUUUAAACCCAAAGCUGUUAUGUGUACCUCUUUUGGUAUAACAUCUCAGUAGUACGCAUCAUGUGGGAUCUUUUUCUCACAAGUUGCAUUACCCCCCCUUAUAAGUGACCCACUUUAUCUCAAUUACUCUAAAAUGUUUUAGGAAUGUAAAUGCCCCUUUAAUUAUAUAUAACUUUUAACAAUGGAUCUCUUGGCUCU